CUUUUUCACAAUUUCACCAACAAAUUCGAAAAACAUCAUUCCGUUUUAAUUUUGAAGAGGAAGUUAUCCAUGAAAACUUUUGAGAUUACGAAAGACAUUAACAGAAGACAUAAUUAAUAUAAUAUUACAUAUCAAUACUUCCCUAAAUCAUAUUAAUUGAAAGAAGAUAUUUUGUUUUAGCCCUAUCCUUGUUGAGUUUUAAGUUCUCUUGUUCUGCUCGUGUAAAUUAAAUCUUUCUGGUCGAGUGUCUUAUAACCAAACGAUCAAAUCUCAUUGUAUAAAAAAACUCGCAUUAUGUGUCAAAGGGAAGAUAGAUUUAAAUCUACACAACAAAUCUUCGUACUUUUUUUUACCUUUUACGAAUUUUUUUGAUUCGAGAGUCACUGAUGUAUCCUUUACAGACGAAAAGCGCGUCCGCUGUACAUAACGUUUUAUAAGAGGUCGGUCAUUUAAAGACGUAACAACCGUAUCAUAUAUGUUUACGUAUACGUAUCUGCAGAUAUACAAAAAAAAGUAUGUGAUCUCUAAUGCAAGUAUUGGUUGUUCUUUAGGUUCGUGUUUAAAAUAUUGUAUUUAUGUAAUAUUUACAAAAUGUGCUUUGGUAGGCUUGUUGGUUUCCAAGAACAAGACUAAAGGAAACCGAAUACUCACUGUUCAGAAUAUUUUUCUGUAUUUUCUUAUAUUUUCACUUUUUUUUUACUGAGUUUUAUAACAAUUAAGUAUUAUCCCAUCUACGCAUUAUUUACAUUAGUUUCUUCUGUCUUUAUAGAUGUUCCUUGUUGAUUCCGCUGUGUAUGCUUAAAAAUACAUACAUUAGAAUAUGUGUCGAAUCAUCAAGAUGACGUUGGUUGUAGUGAUUUUACAGACAUUCUAAGAUUCAUUAGUGUAUUUAAUGAACUUGUAUCACAGCCAGGAAUUUCAUUACCUGUUGCUCUUGUUGUAUCGAACACAUACUAUUUAUUUCCAAUGUUGUAUACUAAAAUUUUAUUGAUUUCGUGGCAUUACAAGCAUUUAUUCUUUAAAUAAUACAUCUAUUUAUUUGUAUAUAGAACUUAAUAUUUGAGAACACUGUAUUUGAAUAUCAAUAUAAUUCAAGUUAUAUAAGCUAUAUAAGUCGUACCACAUCUCCACAUUAUUAUAAGGAAGGAAUUUAUUAAU
rnacentral:lncRNA from 1 species